GCACCACAAGAGCGUGGAGCAUGUGGCUUAAUUUGACUCAACGCGGAAAAACUUACCAGGUCCGGACACACUGAGGAUUGACAGACGGUUAACGCCCUUCGGGGCAAGAGACAAAAUUUUUGGCUCUUUCAUGAUUAUGUGAUAGGUGGUGCAUGGCCGUUCUUAGUUCGUGGAGUGAUCUGUCUGCCCAAUCGCGUUUCAUAAAUCUUAAGCUCAAAAGGCAGUCUUACCUUCGGGUUGAGUUUUGCUGGGAGACUUUUGUGUGAACGCAACGGACGUGAUUGCAACCCCUUGUUGAUUGGCCAUCACGUAAGCUCACUUGUAAUUUAUUACAGUGUGGUAUUAUCUUAGCCAUUCCCUUUUAGUUGUGGAGUGAUUAACCACUCUAAAUUGUAACUCGGGGGACCGCUGUGAUUUUUCUUCAAACCGGAGGAAGGUUGCGGCAAUAACAGGUCUGUGAUGCCCUCAGAUGUCCUGGGCUGCACACGUGCUACACUGAUCCCGGCAGUUGGCAUGUGAUUUUCUCCAAUGACGAACCUAGUGGACUUGGCGUCUGUGCGCAUUCGUGUGCUAAUGACUGCCGUCACUUUAAACACUGGUCGUUAGACUCGUGCGAUCCCUCGGAAAACGUGAUUUCUGUUCCCAAACAAAGCACUUUCGUACCCUCGCUCAAACAAACGUGAUUCCAAAUCCCUUACGAUUGCUACAUCCUUUCUCGUAACGUCUCGCCUAGCGGAGCUUUCAACUUUUCGUCGCAACUCUCAAUUCACAGUGGGGACAGUCGUUUGUCAACUUUUCGUCUCGGUCCCAACUAGGAAUGCCUCGUACGAGUUGGUUCAUCAGACCACUCGGAAUACGUCCCUGCCCUUUGUACACACCGCCCGUCGCUUUUACCGAUGAACUUUUUUGCGAGUAUGAUGGACUAACUUUGCGCUCAAUUUGAAUCUGUUGUGGAAAUUCACUCGAACAACGGGAUUUAAAGGAAAAAGAAGUCGUAACAAGGC
rnacentral:rRNA from 1 species